GACAGUCCUCAGUUUAAAAAAAAAAAAAGGCUUUGUACACACUGUACACAUAUUUACAAUGGCUUUGGAGGAUAGCAGUGCUACAAUAAGGGCUUCAGGAGGAUUCGGCCUGGGACAGGAUUGAGUCUCCUCAUCUGCAACAAAGAAUAUAGCACCACCCAGCCACCAAGAGGAGGGCAGAUGGCGCUGGACAAAGGACCUGUAAUGAAGAGCCGGGCUUCCUGUUGCAGGCAUGUGGGACAUGAGUCUGCUGCACCCACUUCCCACCAGCUGCCCCUCCCCCAACACACCAUCAGCAUCCUGGAAGGCAGCGUCAAUCUCAGAAGGUACCCCUCGCCAGUCAGUGGCCCUGCGGGGCACAGGACUGUCUACACGCCGGGUGCUGGGGUGGAAACGCCAGUAGUCCCUGCCUCGGAAGAAGUAGAUCUUGUUCUUCUCAGGACCCCAGACCAAGGCAGCAUGGACCGGGGACCUCACCAGGCCCAGCUCGGUGAGGGGUGCAGGGCCCAGGACUGGCUUCUCACCGUCGUAUACCCAGUACUGAGCACCUGCCGAAGAGGGAAGGCUGCAAGGACCUGCCCAGCCACCACUGCCAUGCCCAGCCAUGGUGGACCUGCUUGGUCACCACCACAGACUCUCCCAGCCUCAGUUUCUUCAUUAGUAAAACAUGUGGGCCAAUAAUGCCUGCUCAGCACCCCACCCACGGAGGGAAGUGGGAGGCGUGGGAUAAGCUAGGGCAGUGAAUGCUCUGUAAAUUGUGCACAGAAAGGUAAGGUUCCUCUCUGCCUGGGCUCCUGCUCCUUCCACUGGCAUUUGGCUGUGACAAAUGCCUGCUGACCACUCUCUGGGCCUCUGCAGGCUGGGCUGCCCUGGAACCCACGCAACUUUCCCAUGCUAUGCCUUCAUUUGUGAAGUCCCUGGCAUCUGCAAUGCUCUAGGCUCUCUACUCUGCCAGUUGAAGAUGGAAAUCCCAGCUCUGGGAUGACAGACCCGGAUCGGUUUCCUGUCCUGCCUCUUCCUAGCUGUACUCUGGCCCCAGGACGUGGCCAAAUUCAUGGGCUGCCACCUGUAGCAGGUCAGUGCCUGGAAAAGGGAGGUGGCUCAGCAACCCCCGAACCUUCUGCUCAGGACAGGACACCCAGCUCCAGGACCUUGGGCCUCUGCCAUCGUCUGCCGCACCUGCUCCUGCACCAGCUGCCAUGGAAACCGGAGGAUCCUGGAGGGAGAUGGAGGGGCCUGGGCCUCAGGGCAGGAAUAGACCCUCAUGGCUGAGGCAUCAGGAUGCUUGGUGGGUGUGUGAACACUUGGGACACAGGCCAGGUGUGCUCUGGGCCUCAGCUUCAGUGCACUGGUCUCCCUGGCCACAGAGGCACAUGUGUAUGUGGUUUGCUCAUACUCAGGCAGUGUCUGCAUUCAGUGGAAAGAACCAGGACCAGGGGUCCCGAGACCCCCAUCCUAGACCUGACAGUGCCACUCACUGUGGGGAGACCUUGGCUCCUUAAGCCUCCAUUGGUUCCCAGGCCCCCACCUAGGAAAUUCUGAAGACCCCAGUCUCAGCUCCAGUGCUAUGUGACACCAGCCCAUUCUUCACUCCCAGGCUGGGUCCCUACCCACAAGAUGUGUGAGACCCGGAUUCCCCAUCACCUGCCCAGGGUCCUCUCAAGUCACCCAAUGACAUGCCCACUUUUGCAUGAUGACAGAGGCACUGCCCCUCUGCUGAGGGAGGGUCUCCGUAGGUGUGUGUGUCUGAGUUGGGGCUUCAGGGUGUUUGCCCAUAGAUGGCCUCCCUGGGGUUCAGCAGGCACACAGUUCUGUUAGACAUGAAGAUCUAGCCCUGGUCUGUGUCUCAAGUGGCAGCUGUCCGGCUCACCCGCGGGCACACAGCUUGCAUCCUAGUGUCCUGCUCCCAGGCCCCUACCUGUAGGUGAG